GAGGAGGAGGAAGAAGAAGAAGGCCAGGCUGCUGCUGGAGAGCUUCAUGCGUUUUUGAAAACUGAAGCAGGAGAUGAAACAGCAGGAAGCACAUCCAAACUGAUGUCUCAUUAAGCGUGUCAGCAGCAGCGCACUGCGGCCACCAAACCAACACGAGGUUCCACGGAGCAUUAGCAGCCGUCAACACCGCUAAACACACUUCCCAAGCGAACCGGGAUGCGAAGGGAAAACAUCGGCCCUUUUAAUGUCUCGAUGCUCCCUCGCCACUUUAAUAGCUUCAUCUGUCCACUUUAUGGUCGCCCUUCACGAAUGGAAGAACCGUUGAAAGGAAAACGUCUGACUCAGGACGUGAGACGGCCAUUUUCCCACAACGAGACAAAGAACAAGCGAUCCUUUGACUGACAGAAUUCAUGCUCAGGGGUCACGGAUGGCCGACCUCUCGAAAGCCCUCAGGUGCAGAAAACAGUUUAGCCUUCGUCAGACGAAACCAGCCCUCUGUCUCCCCGCUGCUUCUCGUUGCCCAGCUGGUUUGUGUUUAAAUGCCAAGCAAGUGCGUCCCGACACGCAAAGAGACCGUGGGAUGGGAGUCCUUGGAGAUCCAUCCGAUACAGGUUGACACGGCGAGACGUCACGGGAGACGACAAAGGCUUCAAAAGUCGAACACCUCAAGAAGAAUGGCGAGAAGACGCUCCAUCAUGUCGGAUGUAACUACUAAGUAACUACUGAAGUUCCUUUGUCUUGUCCACCUAAAACAGAUGUCUUCACAGACAGUCUUUAGGCCAGCAUAUUACUUUUAAUAUCUGGUUUAAUGAUACAUUUCUUAGCCAUUGUCUUCUGCUUGAGUUUCAUCUCCCCUCAGUGAUUUGUCUCGGCUUUCUACCAUUGAGCUUGAUUUCUCCUGGGCCAGUCAGCAAACGGAAGGAGAAAUGGUCAACGAUGAUAUAAAUAUCCGCGCUGUUCUUGAGUUAUAGUCUUGCAUUUGAGCAAUGGGGGAAAUGAAUGAAGUCAUUCCGUCCAUAUUGUCAGUCCGGUAACCUUGAAGUCAUAGCUAAAUUCUGGCACACUACAUACGUCAACGCCAAACGUUAGCAGAUCCAACAACUUCAACAGACUCCAUGCAUCGUCAGCUUCCAUUUCUAAUUUAUUGGUCUGUACGUACGCUGAAUAAAACAUCACAUACGC